UGGCAAUGAUGACUAUCUUAGGACACCUUUGGAAUAACCAUGAAACAAACACAAGAUUCUGAGCCGC